rnacentral:rRNA from 1 species
GUAGGUGGCAAGCGUUAUCCGGAAUUAUUGGGCGUAAAGCGCGCGCAGGCGGUUUCUUAAGUCUGAUGUGAAAGCCCACGGCUCAACCGUGGAGGGUCAUUGGAAACUGGGGAACUUGAGUGCAGAAGAGAAAAGCGGAAUUCCACGUGUAGCGGUGAAAUGCGUAGAGAUGUGGAGGAACACCAGUGGCGAAGGCGGCUUUUUGGUCUGUAACUGACGCUGAGGCGCGAAAGCGUGGGGAGCAAACAGGGAUUAGAUACCCUGGUAGUCCACGCCGUAAACGAUGAGUGCUAAGUGUUAGAGGGUUUCCGCCCCUUUAGUGCUGCAGCUAACGCAUUAAGCAUCCGCCUGGGAGUACGGUCGCAAGACUG